ACAACUAUAUAGUUAAUAUUAUUAGUGUUGGGAAAGUAUUGGCUCCCUUUCUGAUGUUUCUCUGGCAAUUGUUGAUACUGAAUGUUAUCAAGUCUUCAACCAAAACACUGAUUAGAUAAAGGGAACCUGACUUACAAUAAUAAACCAACUGAGAAAAUCAGAAAAUGGGCAAAUACACACACUGUUUUAUACAAACAUACUAUUGAGUUGAUUUGUGAUUGGUUAAAUAGUACAUCUACCAGGGCAUAAUGUGCAGUGUGAUUGGUUGGGGACUCCCCUGCAUAAUGUGAAUGGUGAUUUGGUUAAUAGUCAUCUAGGGGCGUACAUCCAACAUGUCUCAACUGGACAGGGACAUAAGGUGCAGUGUGAUGGUUGGGGACUCCCUGCACAAUGUGAGUGGGAUUGUUGGGCCCUGCAUAAUGUGCAGUGUGAUUGGUUGGGGACUCCCUGCAUAAUGUGCAGUGUGAUGGUUGGGGGACUCCCUCGCAUAAUGUGCAGAUGUGAUUGGUUGGAGAUCCACCUGCCAGCGUUCUUGACGAAGCCGACGUAGAGCGAGCACAGCCUGGGCAGAUGUCACAGCAGAAACAAUCAGGAUGCCAGCUGUUGUUCAGGCCUUGAUCACACGGCCAAUGAUGAACUCCCCUGAGAACAUAGACCCACCAAUACACAUGAGAAACACACACUCAUGGAUUUACAAAGAGUUGGUGUGUGUGUGUUGUGUGUA
rnacentral:lncRNA from 1 species